rnacentral:lncRNA from 1 species
UGGCUACCUCUGUAGAUCUACAGCUAUCUGUGCCUUCAAAGCAUAAAUUUAAAGGAGGAAGAAAAUGAAAAGCCACCGCAAAGUGAUUAAAAGCUCGAAGAGACUGUCGUCUGAAUGGUCCCAUCAGUUAUGCCCGUUCGUAUCAAUCACGUUAGGCUGACGUCACAUGCUUUAAAUGCAGAAGACAGGCAUGAAGGCAAAAGUGCAUGACAUUGGAUCUAAAAUACUUUUGAAGUACUCCUUUCGUCUGAUUCUCAGACUCAGGAGUAGGGGAUAGUAUUACAGUGGUUAUCAC